UCCCUGGAAGACUAGUGGUUAGGCUACUGUGCUCUCACCUGUGCUGCCCGAGUUCGAUUCCUGGCCAGGGAA